UGCCAGCCGCCGCGGUAAUACCGGCAGCUCAAAUGGUCGCCGCUUUUAUUGGGCCUAAAACGUCCGUAGCCGGACUGGUAAACCCGUGGGUAAAUCAAGCCGCUCAACGGCUUGACUUCUGCGGAGACUGCCAGUCUUGGGACCGGGAGAGGUACGAGGUACUCUCGGGGUAGGGGUAAAAUCCUGUCAUCCCGAGGGGACCACCUGUUGCGAAGGCGUCGUACUAGAACGGAUCCGACGGUCAGGGACGAAGCCUGGGGGCACAAACCGGAUUAGAUA
rnacentral:rRNA from 1 species